rnacentral:rRNA from 1 species
UACAGAGGUCCCAAGCGUUGUUCGGGAUUCAUUGGGCGUAAAGGGUGCGUAGGCGGCGCGGUAAGUCGGGUGUGAAAUCUCGGGGCUUAACUCCGAAACUGCAUUCGAUACUGCCGUGCUUGAGGACUGGAGAGGAGACUGGAAUUUACGGUGUAGCGGUGAAAUGCGUAGAUAUCGUAAGGAAGACCAGUGGCGAAGGCGGGUCUCUGGACAGUUCCUGACGCUGAGGCACGAAGGCCAGGGGAGCAAACGGG